AAAAUCAAUACUGUAUAUUAAUUAGCGAUCUUUCGGACGAGUCGAUUCUCUGCCCUUCUUUCGGAUUCAUCUUGACAAUUGCAAAGGUUUUGGACUCUGACCGAGCAAGAUUCAGAUGACCAAGGAGUGGACUCAUGAGCAGGAAAAGGAGAGCUGCAACGACUAGCGUCCGUGAGGGAAGAUCGAGGCGAGAGAUCUAAUCCCAUGAGCGGGGCCUUUGAUAGGUUAGGUUAGGUUAGGUUAGGGAAUAUUGAUAGAUUCCGAAUCUUAAGACGCCAUAUUGAAGAUCGACAUUGGUCGUCAAAGUACAAGGGCCUCUGCUAGGUUCAUUCUCGUUUUCAGAUCUGAGAUCUGCAUUUUGUUCUUGUGGCUCUGGCCUAAAAUUCUAGCCCAAGAACCGAUCUGAUAGACAUUCAUCCAGAGGGCCCCCUUUUUCAUUUUUCUAUCUUUCUUUUUUUCGUCAGCAGCAUUACAUUCAAAUACGUUUCGGACUCUCAUUCUCAGUCAGUAAUUUAGAUACUUUGAUUCCGUCCUGUAAGAUCUGACUCUUUUUAGUUUAUUCUUUAUUCUAUUUUUAGGACUGAUUACUGAUUUGUUUGUUUAUAUUCACGUAAAAACUCUUUAGUUCAUAUCAAUUUGUUUUACGUUGGCAUAUUUUUAGAAAGAAUUACAUACAAUAAAGACGAAAUUUUCUUAAAAGGAACUUUCUUUCUAUCGCUCACGUACUCAAGAAUUCUCGUCAUACCUGCUGUGUUUGUCAAUACUUUUUAAACAACAAUAGACAAAUAAUUUUUAUAUGUUUAAAGAAGAAGAAGAAAAACAAAGAAAACGUCAUUGACGUCCAACAUCGCCCAAUUCAUCAAGUUUUUCAUAAAGUAGCAAUGAUUCAAAUUCCAGUGAAUCAUUAUCGGAUAGUGAUUAAGUUUAGUGUUACCAUAUUACCAAUGUUAAAAUGAGUUAACCUUGUUAACGUUACCAUAACAUAUAUCUAAGUUGUCUAUGUUAUAUAUGCUAUUUAUUUUAUUAUAUUAUUAUAUUUGAUAUA